AAUAAUUUUCCAUUGAUUUGGAAAUAAUGACUAUGCAUGGGACAUUAGUAGAGCUUGUACAUGUAUAGUAUUAUUUGCCUGUCAUUGGAUUUAUCAGCGA
rnacentral:pre_miRNA from 1 species